AUGCUUAUGCAUUCAGCUUUGUUGCUGAGCUCCCUUUAAGCAAAUAUUUGCCAAGCCAGCCACGAGGACUGUGUUGGAGUUUGUGAUAAUAUAUUGCUUGUAAGGAGCGUGUCAACUGUGCAUGCUACACAUUGUGCCUAGAGAGAUUGAUGUUUUUGUCAUCCACCUGCAUCAAAGCAGGAAAGCCAGCAGCUGCAAAGACAAACCUACCCGGCUUCAAAAAAUCCAAACAAAGAAAUGUUAGUGGGCUGUUUACAUAUCCGUGCGGAGGUAUAUCUGGGCUCGUGCUGAUGCAAUGCAGGGACGCCUGAAAGCUUUCAGUCCCUGCACACUGGACGACGUGGGAAAUGAAAGUGCCGUGCCGGAGAGCCCUGCCACGCACCGGGGACUACAGUACUGCAACUGAGCUCUGGGAUGGAGAGACAGGCUGCUGCCGCGUGAUCCUGUUCAAAUGACCUGCUGGCCCCAAAAGAAGAAGAAGAAAAAAAAGAGCAAGAGAGAGAGAGAGAGAGAAGGAGAAAGAUGCAGGCUGGGGACUGGCCAUGUGACUGGGGCACACACCGCCAUGACUGAGCAGCGCCGGGCCGAACCUGGGUGGACCGGUUGGAGGACGGCCAGUGGGACUCGGAUGGCCCUGAUGAAUCCGGCACCCCUGUGGCACAGACGAGCAUAGCGCCUCAUCUUCAGACAUACAGUACUGGAAGGCCUCAGGAGUGAUGGAUGCCAUGUGAGGAUGUGGCCGCUGAGAUGAGAAACGAAUUCAGAUCUCUGGGAGAGAAAGGAGAGAGAGAAAGGAGAGAGAGAGGGAAACAGAGGCGAAGCGGGAAAACAGACUUAAAAAGGUAGGAUCAAAUCGCAUCUCUACCAAACACCAAACGAGAGGGAAACUUAAUUAUGAGAGACAGGAUGACAAGGAGCACCUCUCUCUUUUCCUCUUCCUUCUUUUCUUGUUUUGUGUCGUCGUCCCCCCCCCCCCCCCCUUCAUUCUUUCUGUUUCAUGUUUCAGAGGAAGGUUUUUUUUUUUGAUAAUAAGAUACAGACAGAUAGUGAACAUGAUAAACUGGAUGAUAAUGUGAUACCUUGCAUUAGAUAUUCCACUGUCUACAAGCACACACACAAA